UACGUAGGGGGCAAGCGUUAUCCGGAUUUACUGGGUGUAAAGGGAGCGUAGACGGCAGCGCAAGUCUGAAGUGAAAUGCCGGGGCUUAACCCCGGAACUGCUUUGGAAACUGUGCAGCUAGAGUGCAGGAGAGGUAAGUGGAAUUCCUAGUGUAGCGGUGAAAUGCGUAGAUAUUAGGAGGAACACCAGUGGCGAAGGCGGCUUACUGGACUGUAACUGACGUUGAGGCUCGAAAGCGUGGGGAGCAAACAGG
rnacentral:rRNA from 1 species